CGGCAGCUGUUUCAGCUGACAUGCUCAGUCCCCACGGGCCCAGCCUGCCUGCGCAGUAAACAGCAGCCUUCCGGGGAGUGUCCGCAGUCUGUUGCUUGUCUGCAUGACCCCAAGGGGCCUUGCUGACAGCC
ensembl:snoRNA SNORA70 Small nucleolar RNA SNORA70